UUCCCAGCAACUCCUAUACCUACCUCCUCGUGGUACUGGCCGGGGUACGAGUAACCUUGGGGAAGAUCGGGUAACCAACCCCCGGUGGGAACUUUGGUCGUAUGCUGACAGGGAAGG
rnacentral:ribozyme from 1 species